AUUAAGUCUUGCUGAAUGGCUUUUCUGUGCCUCCUGAGGUGAUCUGUAUUUUUUGUUUUUUAUUUUAUUAAUAUGGUUUCUGGUACCUGCCAUCAGCCUUGGAAUAAAUAAAGGAGUCUUUCCCAUUUGGAAUGAGAUUUCUCUAUGACAAUUAGAUUUAUAUUGUGCUGGAAUGAUUGGGUCCCCGAAUACUACAUGUGUAAUGUACAACCAGGUCUGGAGCUCCUGCUAAACUCAGCUGUGUCUGGGUUGGAAGGUAACACCUGGGAAAGACUGAACACAGACAGUGCCGGCUCUCUGUGAGGCUCCCCUCCCAGGAACCCUGCUGGAAUGUCAAGAAGACUCGAAGAUUAUUCAAUUAAUGGAGUCCAAAAAGUGUGACAAAAAAAAAUCCAUGGAUGGAAUACAUCUCCUGUUAAAGAAAAAAAGAAAGAAAGAAAGGAGGAGGAUAAAGGGUUGUACAGAAUAGGGAAGGAAGCCUCUCGGGGACCAGCAGUAACUCUGAUGGAUGGCUGCUUUAAGACGUUAUUAUUUGUUAUGUGAGUGUAGGGAGAUGGCAGCCAAGCUGAGCAAUACACCUGCUGGGCUCCAAGAAGCCCAAACAGCUGCACACAUUGAUUUAGAAGCUUGCUACUUGGGGCUCCAGGAACGAAUCAAGUGACAGCUCAUAAAAAAAGAGGGUUUUAUGAUUCUCCCCCCUCUUUCUGUAAGCAAACCACCACAUCAUAUGUUUUCCUAACACGGUCAUAACUCAAAAUUAAAUCCCAGCCCAAGGUGUCAGCCUGGUGCCAUGUCAGGAUUCUAAUGGCUUGUUUUAGAGGUAGCCAUGGAGAUGGUGGAGGAGGGAUGGGGAGCAGGUCUUGGGAGGUUGGAAGGGGUACACAGUGCCCUUUGCU